rnacentral:rRNA from 1 species
AUUGAACGCUGGCGGCAGGCCUAACACAUGCAAGUCGAGCGGAUGAAGGGAGCUUGCUCCUGGAUUCAGCGGCGGACGGGUGAGUAAUGCCUAGGAAUCUGCCUAGUAGUGGGGGAUAACGUCCGGAAACGGGCGCUAAUACCGCAUACGUCCUGAGGGAGAAAGUGGGGGAUCUUCGGACCUCACGCUAUCAGAUGAGCCUAGGUCGGAUUAGCUAGUUGGUGGGGUAAAGGCCUACCAAGGCGACGAUCCGUAACUGGUCUGAGAGGAUGAUCAGUCACACUGGAACUGAGACACGGUCCAGACUCCUACGGGAGGCAGCAGUGGGGAAUAUUGGACAAUGGGCGAAAGCCUGAUCCAGCCAUGCCGCGUGUGUGAAGAAGGUCUUCGGAUUGUAAAGCACUUUAAGUUGGGAGGAAGGGCAGUAAGUUAAUACCUUGCUGUUUUGACGUUACCAACAGAAUAAGCACCGGCUAACUUCGUG